rnacentral:lncRNA from 1 species
UCGGGUCCGAACCUACACAGGCGAACUCAAAUGAGGGACCUAACAUACAUAAACAUGACUCUAAAAUACUCCCCAAAAACCCCCCUAAAACACCUUAAAACAAUUACAUAAAUUGUAACAGCCCGCUUACCGGACCAUCACCGGCACUAGGAUCCAGAUCGGCUUAAGGCCGCCGGGACCCGUAGUAAGCCUACUGUCAACUCUGUGUACCUGAUAAAACCCAUACAUGAUCAUACUUAAGCUUAAAACUGUUACUUACUUUUUCUUUCUUUCUUUACUUUUCUAACUUUUCUUUUCUCAUCCACUAAGCCUGGACCAUGCAUGCUCUGUCUGUAUGCACUCGAAGAGUGAUACCUGCUAUGGUACCAUACAGUAACUACAGAGAUAGAAAGACUACCAUGCACCAAGCCUAGCGCAUCAUCAUAACAUUAUCUCAAUCAUAAAAUGAUCAUGUGCAAAGGGAUAAACAUACACUAGGGCUAAGCACAAUUCUAUAAUUCAAUACAUAACUUGCUAUUACAUCAUUUCUAUACAUUACAUAACCUCUGUACUGUACAUCAUUAUCAUGUCCACUACUCUAUACUAUUACAUAUGCUUUUACCCUUGCUUUCUCUUUCUCUUUCUCUUCUCUGAGGCCCUGAAAAAUGGGAUUAGGGAGAGGGAUGAGCUACUAAAGCCCAGUGAGCGGAAGCCAUAAAAACAUUUAAAAUAUGCUAUAAUGUAAUGCGUCACUGCACAAACAUUUCACAUCUCAGAUUGGACAUGACCCCAAAACUCCCUCUGUCGGUGCCCGGCCCCCAAAGGAGCUCACACAGGUCUUUCACUAACUACUCAUGGUGCCCGACCCUAUAAGGGCUCUCACAGGACUCAUCCAAGUUAAAUGCCCGGCCCCAAAGGAGCUCACACAGGACAUACAAUAAUGACAGACUUGUGGGCUAUUGGAGUCGCCUCGGUCCAAUCCACAUAUACAAGUAAUAAUGCAAUGCAUCAACUUGGUGAAUACUAAUGCAAAGCAUCCUACAUAAACAUGGCAUUAAUGAUGCAUGAAUCAUGCUAAAACAUUCAUUAACUUUCAAACAUAGUUCUGUUCCACUCACCUCUGUCUACUGCUGAGCAGUCUCUGUAACUCUAACUCUGUGGGCCUCCUUGGUCCCUCGGGUUCGCACCUACACAGGUGGACUCAAAUGAGGACCAAACAUACUUAAACAUAACUCUUAAUAUCUCCCCAAAACCCCUCUAAAACAUCAUAAGCAUGCAUGACAAAAUGGGCAAAGGAAGGCUGGUCAGGGCACUUUCGGCGGCUGGUUCGGCGGCCGAAACCUCCCUCCAGAGACGAAACUCAUGCAUGUUCGGCGGCACCUUCGGCGGCCGAAAGCCUCGUCNNNN